rnacentral:rRNA from 1 species
UACGGAGGGUGCAAGCGUUAUCCGGAAUCAUUGGGUUUAAAGGGUCCGUAGGCGGAUUUAUAAGUCAGUGGUGAAAGCCUGAUGCUUAACAUCAGAACUGCCAUUGAUACUGUAAGUCUUGAAUUCGAUCGAAGUGGGCGGAAUAUGACAUGUAGCGGUGAAAUGCUUAGAUAUGUCAUAGAACACCGAUAGCGAAGGCAGCUCACUAGGUCUGGAUUGACGCUCAGGGACGAAAGCGUGGGGAGCAAACAGG